rnacentral:rRNA from 1 species
GAUGAGCGCUGGCGGCGUGCCUAAUACAUGCAAGUCGAGCGAACAGACGAGGAGCUUGCUCCUCUGACGUUAGCGGCGGACGGGUGAGUAACACGUGGAUAACCUACCUAUAAGACUCGGAUAACUUCGGGAAACCGGAGCUAAUACCGGAUAAUAUAUUGAACCGCAUGGUUCAAUAGUGAAAGACGGUUUUGCUGUCACUUAUAGAUGGAUCUGCGCCGCAUUAGCUAGUUGGUAAGGUAACGGCUUACCAAGGCAACGAUGCGUAGCCGACCUGAGAGGGUGAUCGGCCACACUGGAACUGAGGCACGGUCCAGACUCCUACGGGAGGCAGCAGUAGGGAAUCUUCCGCAAUGGGCGAAAGCCUGACGGAGCAACGCCGCGUGAGUGAUGAAGGUCUUCGGAUCGUAAAACUCUGUUAUUAGGGAAGAACAAAUGUGUAAGUAACUAUGCACGUCUUGACGGUACCUAAUCAGAAAGCCACGGCUAACUACGUG